rnacentral:rRNA from 1 species
UACGGAGGGGGUUAGCGUUGUUCGGAAUUACUGGGCGUAAAGCGUACGUAGGCGGACUAUUAAGUAGAGGGUGAAAUCCCGGGGCUCAACCCCGGAACUGCCUUCUAUACUGGUAGUCUUGAGUUCGAGAGAGGUGAGUGGAAUUCCGAGUGUAGAGGUGAAAUUCGUAGAUAUUCGGAGGAACACCAGUGGCGAAGGCGGCUCACUGGCUCGAUACUGACGCUGAGGUACGAAAGUGUGGGGAGCAAACAGG